AUUGAACGCUGGCGGCAGGCCUAACACAUGCAAGUCGAGCGGAUGAAGGGAGCUUGCUCCUGGAUUCAGCGGCGGACGGGUGAGUAAUGCCUAGGAAUCUGCCUGGUAGUGGGGGAUAACGUCCGGAAACGGGCGCUAAUACCGCAUACGUCCUGAGGGAGAAAGUGGGGGAUCUUCGGACCUCACGCUAUCAGAUGAGCCUAGGUCGGUUUAGCUAGUUGGUGGGGUAAAGGCCUACCAAGGCGACGAUCCGUAACUGGUCUGAGAGGAUGAUCAGUCACACUGGAACUGAGACACGGUCCAGACUCCUACGGGAGGCAGCAGUGGGGAAUAUUGGACAAUGGGCGAAAGCCUGAUCCAGCCAUGCCGCGUGUGUGAAGAAGGUCUUCGGAUUGUAAAGCACUUUAAGUUGGGAGGAAGGGCAGUAAGUUAAUACCUUGCUGUUUUGACGUUACCAACAGAAUAAGCACCGGCUAACUUCGU
rnacentral:rRNA from 1 species